UACAGGGGGUGCAACCGUUGCUCGGAAUCAUUGGGCGUAAAGCGCACGUAGGCGGUUCGUUAUGUCGGAUGUGAAAGCCCUUGGCUUAACCGAGGAAGUGCAUCCGAAACUGGCGAGCUAGAGUACUAAAGAGGAUCGCGGAAUUCCCGGUGUAGAGGUGAAAUUCGUAGAUAUUGGGAGGAACACCGGUGGCGAAGGCGGCGAUCUGGGUAGAUACUGACGCUGAGGUGCGAAAGCGUGGGGAGCAAACAGG
rnacentral:rRNA from 1 species